rnacentral:lncRNA from 7 species
GCAGCUUGGAGCUUGGGCUGUGGUACUGGCUUCCUGCACUGGGCUCUAUAGGACAGCUCUAUCAGGUGAUCUCUCCUGGCACAGUGAAUUGCAGAGGUACAGUGGCUGUUGUGAGCUGCCCCUCACAGUCUCCUCCUCCUGCCCUUUGUGUUUAUUACCGGAUCCAACUGAGCUCUGGGAUGUCCCACUGCAGUGCUCUGUGCAUCUGGACAGUGGGUGUCAUGGUCUGAGCCUGCACCCUACCUGUGUGCAGCACCCAGCAGGGUUCUGCUCUGGGCUGGCAGGGUGUUUCUGGGGGAGGUUCUUGGUUGGUUUGUUGAGCACAGUGGUGUUGGGAUCCCUUGGGGCCUUCUGGACCUCCCACAAGGUGUGAGUGAGCCACAGGAUUUGGCAGCACUCCCGUUAUUGGGAACUGUAGCAUUUACCCGGGGCAAUAAAUUGUUUCCUUUCCCUCAUCAGUUCAGUCGCAGGAUCUGCACGACGAGCUGCCAAGCAGUCUCUCCUCAUUUGUGGCAUUCUAGGCUGUGAAAGGGAAGCAGAGGAGCUCUGUGAGCAGCCAGGAUAUGUUGUAGAGCUGAACUGAGCAAUGCAGGUGGGAGGGGAGUGCUGGGCUCCUGCAGCUGGGACCCAAAGAAGCAGCACUGCCACUGAGAUGGUGGUUCUUGGGAUCCGGAACGUGGAGGAAUUCACGGAACUCCUCUCUGCUGAUGGAAAUGCCCGUUAUGGUUUUGAGCAGAGUCACUUCCAUAGGAGCCUUUCUGGGUCGAGGGAUCAGCAUGCAAAUCACUUUGCUGGAGGAUCUGAGGGAUGGGUUUUAUUCACAGAAACAUCAGCUUAAUUCUUCAGCUGCGUUCAGAGCUGUGCUACAGCGAGGCGUGGUGCGAGCACUUCAAACAAGCCGUAUGCCUUCCUUUCUGGUUCUGCUUUGAUUCCUUUUAUUUUAUCUUUAAUUUGAUUUUAAAUACAGUAAGAUGACAGAGGAAAGGGUCUCCUUGAGCGGUGUGCUGAAUGCUAACUCUCCCAUUCCAAACGGCAGCUCGGGAGCUUAAACCAACACGGCUCGCUCAUUGCAGCAGGUCUAGCAGUUGUUCCUGAAGCUGCAGCAUGUAGAAAUGUUUAAUUUCUUAGACAACAUUAGUAUAUAUCUUGUAGUAUAAACUGGGACCCAAAUCCUUCAAAGCUGGAGAGAUGGUGGGCCUCGAGUUGGGCCGACCUGUAGGUGUGCUAACCCUGGCAGUGACUGCUAUUUUUCUCGGUGUUUUUUGGGGGGGGUUUCUUGGUGCAUCUCAGUCUGAGGCUUCUUCAGCCAAUUAACCAUCAGCUACAAAAAAAAAAAGUAAAAAAUAAUAAUAAAAAUUGUUAACG